GACGAACGCUGGCGGCGUGCCUAAUACAUGCAAGUUGAGCGCUGAAUGCUGGUGCUUGUACCAACUUGAAGAGCAGCGAACGGGUGUGUAACGCGUGGGGAAACUGCCUUUGAGCGGGGGACAACAUUUGGAGACGACUGCUAGUACCGCAUAAAAACUUUAAACACAAGUUUUAAGUUUCAUAGAUGCAACUGCAUCACACAAAGCUGAUCUCGCGUUGUAUUAGCUAGUUGGUGAGGUAAAGGCUCACCAAGGCGAGGAUACAUAGCCGACCUGAGAGGCGGAGCGGCCACGUUGGGACUGGGACACGGCCCAAAAUACUACGGGAGGGAGCAGGAGGGAAUCUCUGGCGAUGGACGAAAGUCUGACCGAUGAACGCCGCGGGAGUGAAGAAGGUUUUCGGAUCGUAAAACUCUGUUAGUAGUGAAGAACGUUGGUGAGAGUGGAAAGCUCAUCAAGUGACGGUAACUACCCAGAAAGGGACGGCUAACUACGUG
rnacentral:rRNA from 1 species